rnacentral:hammerhead_ribozyme from 1 species
GCAUUGCUGAGGUGUCCUACAAUAGGACGAAAUGGCCGUCCAAUGC